rnacentral:rRNA from 1 species
AUUGAGUUUGAUCCUGGCUCAGAUUGAACGCUGGCGGCAUGCCUUACACAUGCAAGUCGAACGGCAGCACGGGUGCUUGCACCUGGUGGCGAGUGGCGAACGGGUGAGUAAUACAUCGGAACGUACCUUGUAGUGGGGGAUAGCUCGGCGAAAGCCGGAUUAAUACCGCAUACGCUCUGAGGAGGAAAGCGGGGGACCUUCGGGCCUCGCGCUACAAGAGCGGCCGAUGUCAGAUUAGCUAGUUGGUGGGGUAAAAGCUCACCAAGGCGACGAUCUGUAGCUGGUCUGAGAGGACGACCAGCCACACUGGGACUGAGACACGGCCCUGACUCCUACGGGAGGCAGCAGUGGGGAAUUUUGGACAACGGGCGAAAGCCUGAUCCAGCAAUGCCGCGUGUGUGAAGAAGGCCUUCGGGUUGUAAAGCACUUUUGUCCGGAAAGAAAUCCUCUGGGUUAAUACCUCGGGGGGAUGACGGUACCGGAAGAAUAAGCACCGGCUAACUACGUGCCAGCAGCCGCGGUAAUAAU